rnacentral:lncRNA from 1 species
AUGACGUUCUGCCAGAGUGGAGGAAAGUUCAGACUUCUUGGACAUGAAGCAAAAUGUUGGUUGCAUAGCACAUAUCUGUUCCAAUCUGGCAACUGUCGUAUCUCAAGAAGAAAUAAGUGAUCGAUCGACUUUGGUCCAAUCUUGAAUCUUUAAUUACCAGCCGGGUUCAAAUCUUCUUCAUUUGCUUCUCAGAUCAACACGGCUCAAACCCAGACUCCAUUACAGAUUUAUUAGUUGAGUGGAAUUAGGCUAUUUUCAGUAAAAUUAUUUCCAGCAGUUGAUCUUCAAAGAUCAAAAUCAUCCCACCACCUUAAUCAAUUAUCCUCCCCUUCUUUUAUGUCGAUAUGGUCCAGUUGUUGCAGGUAUGGUUUUGAUGAGUUUGGUUCCAAGUUUCAUAAACUCUUUCAUUGCUUUCUAACAGUCUACUAUUUAAGCUUUUACAAUGCUGACUCCUGGAUGGCAGUCAAUUUUUGUAGAGUGCUGCUUUAUCAUCAUAAUACUCUGGUCGAAGAACCUGCGUCAUUAUAAGUACAUAUAAGGGCAAAUGUUGCAGAGGAGUAUUUGUUGGCAUCUUUGAUUGAGGAUCCUAAACCAGGACAUAUAACAGCUAAUCUUGCAAAUGCCUAUUAUAUGAAUGGUGAUCAUAGAAGUUCCAGCAAGUGCUUGGAGAAGGCGACAAAAUUAGAGCUCAUCGGAUGCAGAAUGGUAUCAGGAUUCCACUGAACAACUUUCCUGGCAGGAAGUCGAAUGGCUUCAGUUAUAAGAGACGGAGACUCUAUUUCUGUUCAACUUCACAUACCAUGGCCAGGCUUUGCAAUGGUCCACAAAGCCCAACAUGAGAUUUCAGCAACAUUUGAU